CAUCCAAAUCCUAAAUCCUUGCUGCUCUCUCUUCCCGUAGACUUCCUCCUCAUCCUUCUUCUUCAUCCUCUCCCAUAGCCGUCGACUGCACCCAGCCAGCACGCAGCAGCACGGAGCCACUACCGUCGCACUGCAGAUUGACCCAAGUGGAGGUUCAAGUGGGGAAGUUGUAUUGUGUGAGUAAGUGGGGAAGUUGUAUUGUGUGAGUAAGGCUGCUGUUUUACCUAUUAACAUUGAGGAUGCUGCUCGGAGUGAUAUCGAAAUCGAAAAGGCUUUGCAGUGAAGGUGGAGCUGCUGUUUUUAGACUCAACUACAAGGGUCAAGAUGCCUGCCUUGCCCAGUCACCUCAGCUUCACAAGCAAAUGGCUAUACGUGGUGACUUCGGUCGUAUUUUUGAGAUUGGUCCUGUUUUUAGAGCUGAGGACUCCUUUACCCAUAGGCAUUUGUGUGAGUUCACUGGCCUUGAUGUUGAGAUGGAGAUCAAGAGGCACUACUUUGAGGUAGAAUUAGUAAUUUUUUAGGCAUUUGUUUACCUUUACCGCCGUAUAUGACGAUGUAUGUUAACUUAUGGUGCAAUUAUAUGCUUGUUUGUUCUGGUCAUGCAUGAUCAUUAAACUUAUAUAUUUUUCAACAUUGCA